UGUGCUUACAAACUACAUGACA
rnacentral:snRNA from 1 species